rnacentral:rRNA from 1 species
CCUGCGGAGGGAUCAUUACUGAGUUUACGCUCUACAACCCUUUGUGAACAUACCUAUAACUGUUGCUUCGGCGGGUAGGGUCUCCGUGACCCUCCCGGCCUCCCGCCCCCGGGCGGGUCGGCGCCCGCCGGAGGAUAACCAAACUCUGAUUUAACGACGUUUCUUCUGAGUGGUACAAGCAAAUAAUCAAAACUUUUAACAACGGAUCUCUUGGUUCUGGCAUCGAUGAAGAACGCAGCGAAAUGCGAUAAGUAAUGUGAAUUGCAGAAUUCAGUGAAUCAUCGAAUCUUUGAACGCACAUUGCGCCCGCCAGCAUUCUGGCGGGCAUGCCUGUUCGAGCGUCAUUUCAACCCUCAAGCUCUGCUUGGUGUUGGGGCCCUACAGCUGAUGUAGGCCCUCAAAGGUAGUGGCGGACCCUCCCGGAGCCUCCUUUGCGUAGUAACUUUACGUCUCGCACUGGGAUCCGGAGGGACUCUUGCCGUAAAACCCCCAAUUCUCCAAAGGUUGACCUCGGAUCAGGUAGGAAUACCCGCUGAACUUAAGCAUAUCAAAA